CAGCAGCCGCGGUAAUACGGAGGAUCCAAGCGUUAUCCGGAUUUAUUGGGUUUAAAGGGUGCGUAGGCGGCGCGCUAAGUCAGUGGUGAAAGACGGUGGCUCAACCAUCGCAGUGCCGUUGAUACUGGCGCGCUUGAAUGCGGAUGAGGUAGGCGGAAUGUGGCAAGUAGCGGUGAAAUGCAUAGAUAUGCCACAGAACACCGAUUGCGAAGGCAGCUUACCAAGGCGAUAUUGACGCUGAUGCACGAAAGCGUGGGGAUCGAACAGGAUUAGAUACCCUGGUAGUCCACGCCCUAAACGAUGAUGACUCGGUGUCGGCGAUAGAAUGCCGGCGCCCAAGCGAAAGCGUUAAGUCAUCCACCUGGGGAGUACGCCCGCAAGGGUGAAACUCAAAGGAAUUGACGG
rnacentral:rRNA from 1 species